CCUCACACUAUACAAUGCAGAAAGGAUUGGCAUUACAAUGAAGAUAUGACAUUGGACAAUGUUUUUGUUUUACGCCUACUUCGAUAAUUUGUGCAUUGAAUAUGGACAUGGUUCAACCAGACCCUGGGAUUUGUACUGAGAUGGGAGUUUCAGAUCUGUUGGGUGAUCAGAGUAAGCAUAUUUUUGUCAUUAUUCUAUCUUGCCUGACAACUGCUGUGAUCCUGAGUGUGAUUGUCAACAUUUUCCUCUUUGUGAGAAUGAAGAGGUCACGAUGUGAACACUGUGCAGUAGGGACCCCUUCUCAGCAGAGCCAGUACGGAAAUCCUUAUGCCAACACGUCAGACCAACAGUUCCACAGUGAUGAGGAUGGCCUGAACUACACUGCCCUGAAGUUCACUGACAAGAAGAGUACCAAGCCCAGGAGACAGAGGAGAAAACAGAGAGAGGAAGAAACCAUCUACUCUGGUGUGUCAGAUAGACAGGAUGUGGCAGUCCUCCAUUCAGUAUCACAGGCGGCCGGUGGCACUUUAAUUGGGGAAGGCGGGCUCAUAGUAAUGGCUAGAACUGAAUAAAUGGAAUGCUAUUGAACGCAUCAAACAUAUGGAUACCAUUGCAUUCACUCCAUUCCAGCCAUUGUUAUUAGCUGACCUCCCCUAAGCAGCCUCCUGUGAUCAGCAUAAUUCUAAGUUAAGCCCCACCCCUCCUCUGAAUUCCACUUUGAUCUUGACUGUGUCCGUGUGACCUGGCUAUUUUGUACACUUCCGGUUUGCUGCCAUUGCAGGGGCCUAGCUUCACCAUAAUUUUCCCCAAAGUAUGAAAGCUGAUACUAGGAUGGUUUCAGAAGUCUCAAAUCCUCACCAAUAGUGGCUGAGGUUGACUGACUGGAUACAUUUGGUUUUGUAGAAGUGUACCACAAAAUAUAUAUUUUGAUUUUCAAAUGUCUGAACUCUUCCUUUUCGUGAUAAUACUUGUAACAUGGAGCUCUGUAACCUGCCCUUAUACUUGUGUGAUAUUUCAAUAAACAUGUUUUUAUUUACUACUUUUAAUGACUUGCCUAAUUCUUAU
rnacentral:lncRNA from 1 species